rnacentral:tRNA from 1 species
AUUUAUAUAAUAUAAUCAAUUAUAUUUGAUUUCCAAUCAAAAAAUCUAUUCUUUAGUAUAAAUA